CAAAAACAUGUCUUUUUGGUAAUAAUUUAAAGUCUAAUCUGCCCACUGAUUUAAAUUAAAGGGCUGCAGUAUAUUGACUGUACAAAGGUAGCAUAAUCAUUAGUUUUUUAAUUGAAAACUUGUAUGAAGGAUUUGAUGAAAUAUAAACUGUCUCUUAUUUAAAAUUAAAAAUUUAUUUUUUAGUUAAAAAGCUAAAAUAAUUUUAAAAGACGAGAAGACCCUAUAGAGUUUUAUAUUAAAUUAUUUUAUAAUUAUUUAUAUAAUUAAAAAUUAAAAAUGAAUUUAAUAUUUUAUUGGGGUGAUAGAAAAAUUAAAAAAACUUUUUUUAAAUUAUUAACAUAGAUAUAUGAAUAAAUGAUCCAUAAUUAAUGAUUAUAAGAAAAAAUUACCUUAGGGAUAACAGCGUAAUAUUUUUUUUUAGUUCAUAUAAAAAAAAAAGUUUGCGACCUCGAUGUUGGAUUAAGAUAAAAUUUAAAUGCAAAAGUUUAAAAGUUUUGAUCUGUUCGAUCAUUAAAAUCUUACAUGAUCUGAGUU
rnacentral:rRNA from 1 species